UACCGUUUUUUUACGAACCCAAGGUUGUUUAUAGUAAAUUUGAGAGGAUGAAUCAUGCUGACAGCAGUUCCGGUGAUUUAUUUAGAUUUCUUAUUUAGAAUUUUGGAGAAAGCGAAGGAAAUGAAGGGACAGCAAGCACAGUACUGGUUCUGAACACUGUGUGAUGAAAAUAUUUGUAGAGGAAAAGAAACAUAUUGAACACAUUCCAGAAUUCCAUAUAAAAUGAAGGAUUAUAUUCAAUGCUACAAUGUUUUAUUUAGAAAUUACUAUUUGCUAAGUUGAGAUACUAAUCCUCAAGUUUCAUUAAGUGGUGAUGUAUCAACCUCUAUUGCCUAAUGGCCUAAAGAGUGGCAGAGAAGAAACUAAAAUCCAAUGUCAGCGCAUAGACUGGUCAGCGGUUGAACAGCAUUUCAAAAAAUGUUUCAUUUGUUUUAUUCAUUGGAUGCAAUUUUUUAUCUAAUCUAGACUAUAGACUUCAUCAGGAAUUAGGAUAUUGUGACAUGUAGUAAGUUUUUAACAUUUUUGUAUUUUUUGAGAACUUAUUUUUAUUGAACGAGAAAAGAGGUUUCUAACAAAGCUCAGCUGUGUGCACAUCAUGAAAAGAAUUUAGAUUGAUCAUGCGUUUGAAGAAACGAGUCAAAUGACUCAGAUGUCAAUUGGUAUAAAGCGAGUUUUAAGCCACAACCAUUUGGUAUUCAUUUUGAUGUAUUCAUUCUGAUGUAUUAAUUUUGAUAUUGGUUGUUGUAGACCCAUCCCCAGCGACGUCAACCUGCAGAAAGAAAGGCCAGUUUUCCUUCAAUCGAAGGUCAUGGAGAUCAUUACGUGUCAUGCAAUGGUGAAGAGGUUGGGUAAGAACCGGUGAAAACGACACGUGUUGCACCAUUAUCAAGCAGGUGCAAUAGCCGCAAGGUUUAGGGGGUGAGGGUGAGAAAAAAAUCGUAUAAAAGGAGAGAGAAAAUGCCAUAGAAAGCAGUCGAGUGAGGAUCUCCGACACGGCAACAACUGCUCUCUUCGUCGUAAUAUCAGUUCGCAAUCAUGGUUGAUAAUGGCGUUGGGUUGCUGUUGGGUGUUGUAUCGUUGAUGCCGAGCCCGAAAGAGAGAAGGCGAUGGAAAUCAAUCGAGUGAGCAUCUCUGACACGGCAACUGCACUCUUGGUGUUAUUACCAGUUCUCAAUCAGAGUAAACUAUGCCGUCGGGCUGCACUACACACUACAACAGAUGCUGUUCCAAGCUACUAAACCGAAGCCUCGAAGUAUAAUUCUUCCCCGAGCUACGCUACCAAAGCACACAGGGGCUACACCAACGAGUCUCCCAAGUACUACACAACUACGUAUGCUGCUCCAGCCUACUACACCAAGGCUCCCAAGUACUACUCUGCUCCCAGCUACUACACCGAGCCAAAAGUAACGGACUGAAGGUGCUCAAAGAUUUUGCUGAGGACGGUAGCAGGUCGAGUCCUCCCUAAAUGAGCGAAUGGACAACCGAGAAGUUGAAUGCGGAAAGUGUUAAUGCGUUGCCCAAAGCUAAUGUUGAGGGUGCAAGCUUGGAAGACAACAAGGUUCCAUUGAUCUUUAACAAUGGUCGAAAGGUUUAAACUGACCAUGUUGUCGUUGCUGUCGGUUUGAACGCAAACACGGAUUGGCUGUCGCUUCUGGUUUGGAAAUCGAUUCCAAUUUUGGCGGUUAUCGAGUCAAUGCUGAGCUUGAAGCAGAUCAAACGUCUGGUUGCUAGAGAUGCUGCCUGCUUUUAUGAUAUCAAAUUGGAUCGUCGUCGUGUGGAACAUCAUGACCAUGCUGUCGUAUCGUUGGCAUGGAUUGCCAGGCUGUGUUAUUGAUUGGCUAGAGUGCAUAUGAUUGGCAAUGCAUGCAUUCAAAAUGGGUGAAGGACUGCAGCGCAAUAUUUGUCACUAUCUGCACUCUUUGUCGUAUUUUCAGUACGCAAUCAUGGUUAACUAUGGUGUCCUGCUGCUGUAUGUUGUAUCGUUGAUGGCUGGGUCAACCAUUGGUGUACCGAUGUCUCCUGGGUAUGGCGGAUACCAAGCCGCAACGUCGCCGCUUUCCUACACAACAACAUACGCAACAACCGGUUACCACACCACCAAGGCUGCAGAAUAUUACACCACAACCUAUGAUGCCCCGAACUACUACAUCGAAGCCCUGAAGUAUAACUCUGCCCCGAGUUGCCUCAACAAAGAGGCGGAGUACUACACCACCAAGGCAGCGGAGUACUACACCACCAAGGCAGCGGAGUACUACACCACCAAGGCAGCGGAGUACUACACCACCAAGGCAGCGGAGUACUACACCACCAAGGCAGCGGAGUACUACACCACCAAGGCAGCGGAGUACUACACCACCAAGGCAGCGGAGUACUACACCACCAAGGCAGCGGAGUACUACACCACCAAGGCAGCGGAGUACUACACCACCAAGGCAGCGGAGUACUACACCACCACGUAUGCUGUCCCAGCCUUUUACACCGAGGUUUCCAACUACUACUGUGCCUAUCUACUACACCGAAGCUCCAGCUUAUUAUACCGCCAAAGCGGUAGAGUACUACACCGAAGCGCCCAAAUUCUAUCUGCCCGAGCUACGAAACUUCAACUGAGGCGGCCCAGUAUUACGUAGCUCCUACUUACUACACAGUGGAUGGUCCUUAAUACUACGUUGGACCGAAAUACUACUCUGAGUCUCCAGUUUACUACACCACAACCUACGCUACCCCUAGCUAUUAAACCGAAGCCGCCAAGUCCUACACCGAAAAGGCCGAAUAUUACCCAAUGACGUAUGCUGCCCAAGUUUACUACACAGAGGAACCCAAGUUUAACUCUGCUCCAACCAACAUCAAACAGAGGAUCCGUUUUACUACACCACCAAGGCUCCUGAGUAUCACAAUGCAACCUACGCUGGUCCCAGCUACUACUCUGAUCCAAAAUAUUACUCUGCCCCGAGUUACUACACCACUAAAGCAUUUGGAUAUUAAACCCCGACCUACGCUUUUUCAGUUUACGAGAGAAAGUCUCCUAAAUACUAGCCGAAAUUUCAGUUUGAUUUAAUUGUGUUCAGAUCAUACUAGUCACUGGUAUUGUGGUUGUUCUUAAAUGAGAAAAUAAAUAUUUUAAUGACGGUAA
rnacentral:lncRNA from 1 species